CACGUAGGGCGCAAGCGUUGUCCGGAAUUAUUGGGCGUAAAGAGCUCGUAGGCGGUCUGUUGCGUCUGCUGUGAAAACUCGGGGCUUAACCCCGAGCCUGCAGUGGAUACGGGCAGACUAGAGGUAGGUAGGGGAGAAUGGAAUUCCCGGUGUAGCGGUGAAAUGCGCAGAUAUCGGGAGGAACACCGGUGGCGAAGGCGGUUCUCUGGGCCUUACCUGACGCUGAGGAGCGAAAGCGUGGGGGAGCGAACAGG
rnacentral:rRNA from 1 species